rnacentral:rRNA from 1 species
GAUGAACGCUGGCGGCGUGCCUAACACAUGCAAGUCGAGCGAGAAAUAGAAGGACAAAGCUUCGGUGGAGGACUUCUAUGGAAAGCGGCGGACGGGUGAGUAACGCGUAGGCAACCUGCCCCAUACAGGGGGAUAGCCUCGGGAAACCGGGAUUAAUACCUCAUAACACGGGCUUUCCGCAUGGGAAGUCGGUCAAAGAUUUAUCGGUAUGGGAUGGGCCUGCGUCUGAUUAGCUGGUUGGUAAGGUAACGGCUUACCAAGGCAACGAUCAGUAGCCGACCUGAGAGGGUGAUCGGCCACAUUGGAACUGAGACACGGUCCAAACUCCUACGGGAGGCAGCAGUGGGGAAUAUUGCACAAUGGGCGAAAGCCUGAUGCAGCAACGCCGCGUGAGCGAGGAAGGCCUUUGGGUCGUAAAGCUCUGUCCUUGGGGAAGAAAAAAAUGACGGUACCCAUGGAGGAAGCCCCGGCUAACUACGUGCCAGCCGCCGCGUAAAAC